AGAGAGGUGGAUGAGUGGUUUAAGUCGCACGCCUGGAAAGUGUGUAUACGUUAAUAGCGUAUCGAGGGUUCGAAUCCCUUCCUCUCUGCCA
rnacentral:tRNA from 2 species